CGCUGCGCAUGCGCUUCGCUGGGUUCGUACGUCGCGCUCAGCGGUACCGAGGGACGUUUGGCUCGGUGUGGUGUGUGAAUCCAAAGUGAUUGUGAUUUGUUGAUCAUACUUGCAAGUGUGUUGUGCAAAUUGCCAGUGAUUGUGCUUUAUUUAAUAAGAUCAGUAUGUGGCCAAAAUGGGACCUUCCAUACUCAAGUGAGAGAUAUUAGAAGGCUUAGGAGAAACCCAGAUUUCCCAAGUGCACUGAAUGAGUCCAGCUCUGCUACCCAUUCAUCAGAAUUACAGGAUUUUGCCUCUUCCUCUGCCACACCCUAUGUAUGUUUUGACUCAAAGCAAGUUGUGCAAUGGAUAUGAAUCGUGAUGAAGA